GACAGGGAGCUAUUUAAGGGCCCUUAGCCCUAGCACAUACAUCUGUAGCCUCCCGGGAGGCAUACGGACACUAUUUAUAUGCCUGCAGUUCUACUAUCAGGUAUGUUUUUCUACCUCCUUUACAAGCUAGUUCAAUCUGGUUGACUCCUUAUGGCAGUGCCAUUCUAAGCCCUCUAUUUGUCUAUUUCAGAGACCUGACAGGGCUUGUCUAUACUUGGCCCCUUGUUACCUAUCUGGGGUGCAUCCAUUGUGAAUAUUGUGUUUAAAUUCACUGUAUUGCUAUAUGAUCAGCUUACACUCCUGUGUUAAUUUCAACUCACCAUGGUUACAGCCUGAUUAGCUCUAUCUACCUUCACUGGGUAAGCCUCGUUUUGCUAUUUUAUUUAAAUGGUUAUGCAUGUCAUUUUAGAACUUAGCAUCUUAUUGCUAUAUAUUUAUCCAUAGAUUUUUAGCUGCAAUCUGCAUUGGCUAUAUACUACUAUGGUGCAGAUGGAACUUUUUCACUGGAUGCCAGUACAAGUUUAUUCUUUUAACCAUUAACCCCUCACCAGUUCAGACUCCGGGUUACUGUUACCCCUAAUCUCAACUGAUGCUCCUCUAGCACAUUUAUAACAAAAAGUCCUUUGAAGAAGCGCCAUAUCUCAGCGCGAAACAUGUCAGGCCACAGCGAUUCCUUUGUCAUCGUUUAGACCUUCAGUCUAUGCAGUCUUCGGUCCUUCCUCAGGAACUUAUAUAAUCUAUAAGUGGUUGGAGGUUCUUUGUUUGUCUUUAUCAACAGUAUAUCUCAAUAACCAGUUGAAAUUCUUUUUUAUGUAAUUAUGUUUAAUUACCAAUUCCUGAUGGUUCUCACUGAAUACUGUAACGCUGUGUAAUUUUGUUUUUGUGCAAAUUCAAUCAUAUGGAGAUUUUCUUAAAGUGUUUAAUAAUACCUUGUGUAAUAAAUAUAUUUUUUUAGCAAAAA